UUUCUAAAUGCAAAGCAAGACAAAUCUGAUUUUUCUUUCUUUCUUCACAGAUACCAACAUCGUCAAAUCGGUAAGAAAGCAAAAGUUUUCACAGAACUCCCCUCUUAAUGAAAAUAUGUAAAAAGGGAACAAAUGAUGGUUAUAAAGAAACAGAGCUUAACACUUACUACUAUCCUCAAUCAUCUCAGCUCCUGUUUUUGCAGAAGCUACAACUCCAGCAGCAGACUCGACAACUAAAACAAAAAGUAAAAUGGGAUUCAACCCAAAAAUGCAUUAUGUAAUGUGCCCAGAUGUGCCCAAGCAGAGUAGAGUCUGGGCCUAUUGGAAAGUGUUUUACCAUCUUUAGAAGCCCCGUGUAGAGCUUGGAGCUUGUUACUGCCUCGAUGAGCCUUCACACGUGAGGCUGCCACCUGGGUUUGUAACAGUGAAUAGUUAGUGUUUAAACUUAUCAUUUGCCAUAGAUCAUCAUAUUUUACUAACUUAUUAUUUGGGUCACACAGCUUUAAUCAAAAGUCAGGUAGUGAGAGAUUUUCUAUAUUCUGUGAGCUUUGGUCGAUACUGCUAAAAACAACUUUCUGACUUUCCUCAUUUGAACUAAUAGGAAUCAAUUGUGUGAUUUUUGAUGAUUGAGCCAGAACUUAGCUGUUUAGCUGUUCCGAUCAUUUUUAAAUGGAAACAAAUAUUGCCUUCUCUAUAAAAUGUAAUUCUUCUUCAAGGUUCAAUAAUUGUGCUUUAGGUACAUACCAGUUGUGCUGUGCUUGCAGUGAUUUCAUUAGAUGCCACCACAAGCUCCUCAAAUUUGCCUUUACCAAGAACCACCUUGUCGGCAGAAUCCCUGGAUAAGAUAUAGAAACCGAGGUCAUCACAUGCUACAGAAGGCUUCUGGGGUGACGCUUGUUCCAGCCCCUACCCCACAUUAUUUCAUAACAUGUUAUACAAAAUUAAUUAAACUUGAUCAAAAUGUCUUAUAA